UACGAAGGGGGCUAGCGUUGUUCGGAAUUACUGGGCGUAAAGCGCACGUAGGCGGAUAUUUAAGUCAGGGGUGAAAUCCCAGAGCUCAACUCUGGAACUGCCUUUGAUACUGGGUAUCUCGAGUAUGGAAGAGGUGAGUGGAAUUCCGAGUGUAGAGGUGAAAUUCGUAGAUAUUCGGAGGAACACCAGUGGCGAAGGCGGCUCACUGGUCCAUUACUGACGC
rnacentral:rRNA from 1 species